UACGGGGGGGGCAAGCGUUGUUCGGAAUUACUGGGCGUAAAGGGCUCGUAGGCGGCCAACUAAGUCGGACGUGAAAUCCCUCGGCUUAACCGAGGAACUGCCGUCCAAACUGCUUCGCUUGAGACCGGGAGAGGUGAGUGGAAUUCCCAGUGUAGCGGUGAAAUGCGUAGAUAUUGGGAGGACCACCAGUGGCGAAGGCGGCUCACUGGACCGGUACUGACGCUGAUGCGCGAAAGCGUGGGGAGCAAACGGG
rnacentral:rRNA from 1 species